AUUUUGGCUUUACUAAAAGCCUCACAUUUUUCAAAAAAAAAAAAUU
rfam:Capsicum annuum cultivar Zunla-1 chromosome 7, whole genome shotgun sequence